GGGGCAGUAGUUCAGUGGUAGAGCUCCUGCUUCCUAUGCGGGGAGACCUGCGUUCAAUUCCCGGCUGCUUAC
rnacentral:tRNA from 1 species